GACGAACGCUGGCGGCGUGCUUAACACAUGCCAGUCGAACGGAAAGGCCCUGCUUUUGUGGUGUGCUCGAGUGGCGAACGGGUGAGUAACACGUGAGUAACCUGCCCUUGACUUUGGGAUAACUUCAGGAAACUGGGGCUAAUACCGGAUAGGAGCUCCUGCUGCAUGGUGGGGGUUGGAUAGUUUCGGCGGUUGGGGAUGGACUCGCGGCUUAUCAGCUUGUUGGUGGGGUAGUGGCUUACCAAGGCUUUGACGGGUAGCCGGCCUGAGAGGGUGACCGGCCACAUUGGGACUGAGAGACGGCCCAGACUCCUACGGGAGGCAGCAGUGGGGAAUAUUGCACAAUGGGCGGAAGCCGGAUGCAGCAACGCCGCGUGCGGGAUGACGGCCUUCGGGUUGUAAACCGCUUUCGCCUGUGACGAAGCGUGAGUGACGGUAAUGGAUAAAGAAGCACCGGCUAACUACGUG
rnacentral:rRNA from 1 species